GAUGAACGCUGGCGGCGUGCCUAAUACAUGCAAGUCGAGCGAACAGACGAGGAGCUUGCUCCUCUGACGUUAGCGGCGGACGGGUGAGUAACACGUGGAUAACCUACCUAUAAGACUGGGAUAACUUCGGGAAACCGGAGCUAAUACCGGAUAACAUGUUGAACCGCAUGGUUCAACAGUGAAAGACGGUCUUGCUGUCACUUAUAGAUGGGUCCGCGCCGCAUUAGCUAGUUGGUAAGGUAACGGCUUACCAAGGCAACGAUGCGUAGCCGACCUGAGAGGGUGAUCGGCCACACUGGAACUGAGACACGGUCCAGACUCCUACGGGAGGCAGCAGUAGGGAAUCUUCCGCAAAGGGCGAAAGCCUGACGGAGCAACGCCGCGUGAGUGAUGAAGGUCUUCGGAUCGUAAAACUCUGUUAUUAGGGAAGAACAAAUGUGUAAGUAACUAUGCACGUCUUGACGGUACCUAAUCAGAAAGCCACGGCUAACUACGUG
rnacentral:rRNA from 1 species